rnacentral:tRNA from 2 species
GUUAGAGUGGCAGAACCCGGAUAAUGCAAGAGGCCUAAGCCCUUUCUAUAGAGGUCCAAAUCCUCUCUCUAGCU